rnacentral:rRNA from 1 species
AUUGAACGCUGGCGGCAGGCCUAACACAUGCAAGUCGAACGGCAGCACAGAAGAGCUUGCUCUUUGGGUGGCGAGUGGCGGACGGGUGAGUAACACGUAGGAAUCUACCCAGUAGUGGGGGAUAACCUGGGGAAACCCAGGCUAAUACCGCAUACGCCCUGAGGGGGAAAGCGGGGGAUCUUCGGACCUCGCGCUAUUGGAUGAGCCUGCGUCGGAUUAGCUAGUUGGUGGGGUAAGGGCCCACCAAGGCGACGAUCCGUAGCUGGUCUGAGAGGAUGACCAGUCACACCGGAACUGAGACACGGUCCGGACUCCUACGGGAGGCAGCAGUGGGGAAUAUUGGACAAUGGGCGCAAGCCUGAUCCAGCCAUGCCGCGUGGGUGAAGAAGGCCUGCGGGUUGUAAAGCACUUUUGUUCGGGAAGAAAUCAUGUCGGUUAAUACCCGAUGUGGAUGACGGUACCGAAAGAAUAAGCACCGGCUAACUUCGUGCCAGCAGCC